rnacentral:rRNA from 1 species
GACGAACGCUGGCGGCGUGCUUAACACAUGCAAGUCGAACGGAAAGGCCCUGCUUUUGUGGGGUUCUCGAUUGCCGAACGGGUGAGUAACACGUGAGUAACCUGCCCUUGACUUUGGGAUAACUUCAGGAAACUGGGGCUAAUACCGGAUAGGAGCUCCUGCUGCAUGGUGGGGGUUGGAAAGUUUCGGCGGUUGGGGAUGGACUCGCGGCUUAUCAGCUUGUUGGUGGGGUAGUGGCUUACCAAGCCUUUGACGGGUAGCCGGCCUGAGAGGGUGACCGGGCACAUGGGUACUGAGAUAGGGCCCAGACUCCAACGGGCGGCAGCAGUGGGGAACAUGGCACAAUGGGCGGGAGCCUGAUGCAGCAACGCCGCGUGCGGGAUGACGUCCUUCGGGUUGUAAACCGCUUUGGCCUGUGACGAAGCGUGAGUGACGGUAAUGGGUAAAGAAGCACCGGCUAACUACGUG